rnacentral:rRNA from 1 species
UACGUAGGUGACCAGCGUUGUCCGGAUUUACUGGGCGUAAAGCGCGUGUAGGCGGCCCGGUAAGUCCGCUGUGAAAGUCGGGGGGCUCAACCCUCGAAUGCCGGUGGAUACUGUCGGGGCUAGAGUGCGGGAGAGGCGGAGUGGAAUUCCUGGUGUAGCGGUGAAAUGCGCAGAUAUCAGGAGGAACACCAAUUGCGAAGGCAGCUCGCUGGAACGUAACUGACGCUGAGACGCGAAAGCGUGGGGAGCAAACAGG